ACAUGUUAGAUUAAUUUGAUUAAUCUAUUUAUUUUCUAUUAUAAUUUAUUUGAAAAUAUUUUGAAAUACAUACAUGAAAUCAUCUAUGUUUUCCAACAGUGGUAUCAAAGCCUAGGUUCGUUAUGACAAGUUAUAUGUGCAUAUUAAAUCUAAAAUUUAAUUUUAUUUAGAUCUGAUAUGUAAUAUUUUGAUUUAAAUUUAAUUAAUAGA
rnacentral:lncRNA from 1 species